ensembl:snoRNA
AGGGACAAUAUUGGCCCACUGAUGGCAUAUGAGUCAUAUGCAAUGAAUGUGUGUCUGGAACUCUGAGGUCCAA